AGAGUCAUUGUGGGGGAGGGGUUGGGCCAGCCAGGGCAGGCAGGGACAGCCCCUCUGAUGAGGAGGCCACUGGGCUGAGACCAAUGAAUGAGAUGGAGCCAGCCACGUGGGCUUGAGUCUGGGGGAGCCUGGCUGCCCAGAGGUGGCAGAUGACAUGAAGAAAUAACCAUGUAAGGGCUGGCUGUGUAUGAGAGCAAGCAUUGGGAAGGAUGAAUGCCAACUAUGUUCCAGGAACUUCCACUGUUCUCACACACCCAGGUGAGUGGUGUUCAGGUGGGUGGCACCCAGGUGAGUGACAUCCCAGUUGAGUGGCACCCAGGUGAGUAGCAUCCAGGUGAGUGACACCUAGGUGAGUGACAUUCAGGUUAGUGGCGUCUGUGUGAGUGGCAUCAUCCAGGUGAGUAGCUUCCAGGUGAGUGGCACCCAGGUGAGUGGCAUUCGGGUGAGUGGCAUUAUCCAGGUGACACCUGGGUGAGUGGCAUCCAGGUGAGUGAUAUCAUCCAGGUAAGUGGCACCUAGGUGACAUCCAGGUGAGUGACGACAUCCAGGUGAGUGACAUCAUCCAGGUAAAUGGCACCCAGGUGAGUAGCAUUCAGGUGAGUGACACCCAGGCGAGUGGCAUCCACGUGACUAGCAUUGUCCAGGUGCAUAACACCCAGGUGAGUGGCACCCAGUUGAGUGGUGCCCAAGUGAGUCACAUCCAGGUAAGUGGGGUCCAGG
rnacentral:lncRNA from 1 species